GCGGGGCCUGCCGCGGGGCGGGGCCGGCGCCGGGCACAGGAAGCGCUGGGAGGCCUGAGCCGUCCCAGGGUGCCCCGCGCGGCGUGGACUGGGGCUGCUGCCGCCAUCCCGCUGGCGAGAGCGAGAGAGAGGCCCGCCUGCUCGCCGGCCAGGCCAGUGUGGGCGAGUGCGUGAAGGCGCGGGGGACCGUGUCAGCGAGACGCAGAGCGCAGCCACCACCCCCAAACGGACAUGUUGGAGCCCAGCGCCGCCGCCGCCUCCUUUUCCUCGCCCAGCGAACGGGACUGAGAAGGAGCCCGCCACCCCUCCGCCUCUGCCUCUGCUCGGCCGCCCGCCUCGCCGUCUCGGCCUCAGCCGCUUCCUGCCCGGCCUCGGGCUCCGCCACUCGUCGUCUUCCCCGUCGGUUCCCGGCCCCGCUCCGCCGCGGCGCGAGGUCUAUGUGACCGGCGGGCCGGGAGCAGCCACCGCCGCAACGCGAACAUGGACGCCGUCAACGCCUUCAACCAGGAGACAUGGUCUUAUAAAGUUACCCAGGCUGGCCUCAAACUUUUGAUUCUCCUGCCUCAGCCUCCUGAGUAGCUGGGAUUACAGUUUGUUUCAGAAAAAGUCACCUUGAACACAUGACAAAGAAUCAACUCAGGAA
rnacentral:lncRNA from 1 species